UACGGGGGGAGCAAGUGUUGUUCGGAUUUACUGGGCGUAAAGGGCGCGUAGGCGGCCACCGCAAGUCGACUGUGAAAUCUCCGGGCUUAACCCGGAAAGGUCAGCCGAUACUGCGGGGCUAGAGUGCAGAAGGGGCAACUGGAAUUCUCGGUGUAGCGGUGAAAUGCGUAGAUAUCGAGAGGGAACACCUGCGGCGAAGGCGGGUUGCUGGGCUGACACUGACGCUGAUGCGCGAAAGCUAGGGAGCGAAGCGGG
rnacentral:rRNA from 1 species